CGGCGGACGGGUGAGUAACACGUGGAUAACCUACCUAUAAGACUGGAAUAACUUCGGGAAACCGGAGCUAAUACCGGAUAAUUUAUUGAACCGCAUGGUUCAAUAGUGAAAGACGGUUUUGCUGUCACUUAUAGAUGGAUCCGCGCCGCAUUAGCUAGUUGGUAAGGUAACGGCUUACCAAGGCAACGAUGCGUAGCCGACCUGAGAGGGUGAUCGGCCACACUGGAACUGAGACACGGUCCAG
rnacentral:rRNA from 1 species